UACGGAAGGGGCAAGCGUUGUUCGGAAUCAUUGGGCGUAAAGGGCGCGUAGGUGGUUCUGUAUGUCUACCGUGAAAGCGUACGGCUCAACCGUAUUUUGUCGGUAGAAACUGCAGGACUUGAGGCUGGGAGGGGCUGGUGGAAUUCCCUGUGUAGCGGUGAAAUGCGUAGAGAUGGGGGAGAACACUCGUGGCGAAGGCGGCCAGCUCGACCAGUUCUGACACUGAGGCGCGACAGCGUGGGGAGCAAACAGG
rnacentral:rRNA from 1 species